GAUACGCCAACUUUAUUCAUUAUACGGAACUGCUAGCUCUCUAGUCAAAGAAAAUUGCGAAACGCUCCGAGACCUUUGUAGUAGUUGUUCGUUUUGUUGGCGAGAUCCGCUGGAUACCCACGGUAUAUUUUAUAAACCCACGGAAAGUAUAUAAUUUUUGUUUGCCGUUGUUUAAGUCUCCGCCGGUUAAUGAUAUUAUAAGCGGAGU